AAUUAAAAAGACGUCAUUCCGUAUUAAGAUUUAAUGUUACGACAAUAAACGAUCGACAUCAUAAAAAAGAAAUUACGUUUGACAGCAACGGGGGUAAAUAAUGUUUGAAAAACAAAUAUUUAUACAGAUAUAUGUGUGUUAAUUUUAAUAUUUGUCACUCGUACUCAUUACAAUGAACACAACUAAGGCUUUCAGUAAGUCAUGUACCAGAUGUCCCUACGUAUUUUACAGCUUCACAUUAGCAUGAUAAAUUGACAUAGUAGAAAUAUAAUUAUAAUGUUUGAAGAUGAAUGAACCCUGAAAAGAACGACAAUACUCAUUACAUCAACAUCUACAAGGAUACUCCCAUUAUUACAGAAUAAACGAAUUUACCCGGUGUCUCAGUGAGAAAGUUAAUCAUGAAUGUCGCCGUACUCGAUCGUCGCCCACUUGGUCGGGUCAUUUUUCCAACAUCCAGCUUGCAAUUUGUACGGACAUUCAUUAAGUCCAAUUAGUUUUAUUUUCUGAUCAUAUCGGGCUUUCGAAGUGCAAUCUAACCCUUCAUAAUAGUCAAAAGACAUUUUAAACACCAAUUACAGGGCAUUUAAUUACCUAUCGACUUCCCAAUAGGAAUGCAAUUGACGAAAUAUCAGCAGAGGUGCUCAAUCAGCGUAGUAAAUCGACCGUAUCUAGGGCAUUGUUUUCACCGUCGCUAAGGGACUGCCCCUUUUGGGACGUCAUCGCGAUAAGGUCAAUUACGGUGCUGGGGACCGUUUCAAUAAGCUCUCGUACUCACCACUGACAUCAGUUAAAGAUUUUUGGCCAAAGGAAACAUCUAUUCCAAGCUGGCUGAUCUUCAUGGAAUCAGCAGAUCAUCUUUCGUUAUUUGACAUGCCUUCACGAGUUCAAUCAGCAAACAUAUGAUCGGUUUCCAGUCCGUGUACAACAACAAACUUGCAUGAAGGUUGGAUUCUGCCACAAGGCCUGGGAGCAGUGGAUGGGACUCUCAUACCCAUAAUACUGAAUACGUUAUAUUACACACAUGCAGUUGAACACAGCAGGAACUCUUGAAGAAAAAAAUGUGUAUUUUUUUUUGUUUGAACUUAAAUGUAAAAAAUAUAUUUAAUUUUAGCUCGACUAUAUCUUGAAUGAUAAGCUGUGUAUAAAAUUAUGGUAAACAUGCAACAUCCUUAUAUCACUGUUUCUAUUACAUAUUUUCAUUAAAAGCACUUAUGUAUUCAGGGUCAUUAUGUCAUUGUGAGGUCACUGACCAAGUUGCUUAUCUCUGACCUGCAUUUAGCUUAAUAAUGCGCCUUUUGUACUUACAAUGUUCCACUUAAAUUGUGUGUACAGCUACUCCAUAUCCCUAUAUUUUCCACAGAUAUUGAAAUAAUCCUUCUCAUAUGUAGUCAGAUUUUUUUUAAAUCAUAUAAAUAAUAUUUCUUUGAGUCAUUGUUAUAACCACUACAAAUAUUUACUGUUGUUGCGAAUAAAGUUUUUAAAACUGUUUAAACUGGAUGUUGUGUUAGUGAAUCUUUAAGAGAAGAAGCUUCUUGAAUAAUGUCACUUUAGCUUCUUACUUCACAAUCUUUUUGUUCAACAUGUAAUUAAAUACACUUUAAAUUAUAAAGUGGAUUGCAAUACAGAGAACGCAGAAGAAGCGCUUACAUUUGUACUUAAAAAGAAUGAUGUUUGAAGUUGUCAGCAUUUUCAUGGUGAACAUUUUGAUUGUUUGGCCACAAUGGAAAAAAUACUUUGUUACUAAUUUAAAUUUUAGCAAACACCUAAUAAUGCUUUAAAGAAUGAGUUAUUUUGUUUCUAAAGUAAAAAUAUGUCCUAACCUAGAAAAGAUACACUUUAAACAUUUUAUAAAUUAAAAAGAUGUACUUAAAACUCCACUGUCUAAGAAAAAGUGGAUUAUUUAUAAAUAAAAAAGAAAAAUACACUUCCGAAUUUAAAGAACAUGAAAAAAAGCUUCAUCUGAUUCUUAUUAAUUAAUGCAAUAAAGUGUUCUCUUUAGAAAAUGAAGACAAUUCGCUU